rnacentral:rRNA from 1 species
AUCCGUACCAAAACUGACACAGGUGGGCGAGGAGAGUGUCCUAACGGCGCUCGAGAGAACGGUCCUUAAGGAACUAGGCAAUUUGACCCCGUAACUUCGGGAUAAGGGGGCCCUCCUCCUUCGGGAGAGGGCGCAGAGAAACGGCUCUGGGAACUGUUUAUCAAAAACACAGUUCUGUGCAAACUCGUAAAGAGGAAGUAUACAGAAUGACGCCUGCUCGGUGCCGGAAUGUUAAGGAAGUCGGUUAGCGCGUAAGCGCGAAGCUGGCGACCGAAGCACCGGUAAACGGCGGCCGUAACUAUGACGGUCCUAAGGUAGCGAAGUUCCUUGUCGGGUAAGUUCCGACGCGCAUGAAUGGCGUAAUCACUGGAGCAGUGUCUCAAGGACCGACUCGGUGAAAUUGAAGUCGCGGUGAAGAUACCGUGUACCCGCAGCAAGACGGAAAGACCCCGUGAACCUUUACUGCAGCCUGAUAUUGAUAACGGUUAUCGCAUGCGUAGGAUAAGUGGGAGGCGUUGAUCCGGUGGUUUCGGCCAUCGGGGAGCCAACGGUGAAAUACCACUCUUGUGCUAUUCGUUGUCUAACCUCGGCCCGUGAAUCCGGACGAGGGACAGUGUUAGGUGGGCAGUUUGACUGGGGCGGUCUCCUCCCAAAGAGUAACGGAGGAGCGCAAUGGUUGGCUCAGCACGGUUGGCAAUCGUGCGUCGAGUGCAAGGGCAUAAGCCAGCUUAACUGCAAGACCCAAGAGUCGAGCAGAUGCGAAAGCAGGCCCUAGUGAUCCGGUAAUCCCGUGUGGAAGGGUUAUCGCUCAACUGAUAAAAGGUACUCCGGGGAUAACAGGCUGAUGACCACCGAGCGUCCAUAGCGGCGUGGUCGUUUGGCACCUCGAUGUCGGCCCAUCACAUCCUGGGGCUGUAGGCGGUCCCAAGGGUUCGGCUGUUCGCCGAUUAAAGUGGUACGCGAGCUGGGUUCAGACCGGCGCGAGCCAGGUCGGUCCCUAUCUGCUGUGGGCGUAUGAGUCUUGAAGGGCCAUCACUCUAGUACGAGAGGAUUGGGUGGUACGUGCCUCUGGUGUACCAAUUGUCCUGCUAAGGGCAUCGUUGGGUAGCUAAGCACGGACAGGAUAAACGCUGAAUGCAUCUAAGCGUGAAGCCGUCCCUAAGAUGAGGACUCGUUGCUCCCCUUCGGGGUGAGCUGAAGACCCCUGGUAGACCACCAGGUUGAUAGGCUGGGUGUGUACGGACAGAGAUGUCUUAAGCUAACCAGUACU